rnacentral:siRNA from 1 species
UAGAAUGAUUUUCAGAUUCUU